rnacentral:lncRNA from 1 species
UGCUUGGUUUGCUUCAUUCUCUUGCAAUUUAAGAAGUUAGGAAUACUUAUUCCUUGCUGGGAUUCUCCUCCAUUUCCUCCUUGUGAUCAGCAGGUUUGAUAGACUCCACGGCACGCUUGCGUGAGGUGGUCGUCGCCCCGAUCGUUUCUAGCACAGUUGUUGGGUGAAUUGCUUGCAACACCUUUAACCUCUCGCCUAUAUGAACACGGUAAUCUUGGUACAAUUGCUCGCGUUCGGAAUUCUGCGUUGAAUGGACACCAACGACACCUUGAUCCCUCGCUUAUAUUGAAGCGGUAAUCUCGGUACAAUCGACGAUUGAUGCAGUAGAAGACGCCAUACACAACUAUGAAUUGUUGUAUGAUAAGUCAAAUUGAAUCUCAAAGAAAUAACUAAGAAUUACUAGUUCUUAGUAAUUCUUCAAAGAACCAAAAGUAGAGAAUAAACUCACAAAUUUAUUGAAUAAUAAUAAUGAAUAAUGUAUUUGAUUACAUAACUUGGACCUCUAUUUAUGCUACUCAAAACAAUCCAUAUCCCAAUAGGAAUUUAUAAACUAUAACCCUAAUAGAAGUCAAUUUGGAAAAGAAAUUCUAAUUAAAAAGAAAUCCUAAUUACACUAGAAUUUAAAAUUAAUUUAGAUCCCAAAUUUUCCAAGCCGCGUACGAAUUGUAUUAAAACUGAUAUUCCUUACAAGCUGCUAAUAAUCCGUGUACUGAUAGGAUCAUAUAUGAUCAAGCCUUAUGAUUGUUAUUAUGCAGACGUGGCCCACAUGCUAAUAUGCUGAACAUGCUGAAUCCAUGCAUUGCUUCAUUUAUUGUUGAAAAGCCACUUGAAUUGCUUAAGCUUGAUAUCUUGGAAAAAACUGCGACCCACAUGAUAACUAAAUGUUGGCAUGUCUUUAUUCCUUUAUAUGUCUGGGCAUGUACUGAUUUGAAGUAGCACGAAUGAUGCUUAAUUAGAAGGCCCAAAUGAAUAAAAAAUUGACUUGCUGAAUUGGGUCAGUCCAAUAAUACUUAAAUUGUACUCCCUUAAAUAAUCUUUAGCCCAAUUAUUUGAAAUCAUUUGUUGAACACUUGACGCUCGAGUCGAUAAAUUGACGAAAAAUUCUGACUCGGUCAAUUUGUCAUCAUUCCCCUCCUCUUCAAAAGGAUUUGUCCUCAAAUCUGGCAUCCGCUCCCCUUGAAAAGGAUUUGUCCACAAAUCUGAUCCUACAUCAAAACAAACAAAGUUAGAAUCAUCAAACAAAACAUAACCACAAGUCUCACCUGGUAAUUUAAAUGAAUAAGCAAUAUCAGCAACGCAAGCAAGAAUUUGAAAAGUUCCAACUCCUCCAAGACCAAAUAUCAAAAUGAAAAAACUUUUCAUGUGAUAGAUUUUCCCGGAUCAAACGGAAAUCUUAUGAUCUCGAUCAUUUUCAAACAUAACCACGUCAAUGAUCCUGGGUCAAAUAUCAACUUUUGAAAUUCAUGAGGUCGCAUAAGUCCAUACACCUGAAUCCCUGGAUUAAACACAAAAUAAAACAAAUCAACAAGUUCCUUUUGUCUAAUCACAAAGGAAUUAAAUAAAUCAAAAUCACAUGCAUAGUCUACUAAAACAAUAUUCAAAACACUUCCAUGUAGACUCUUAAUGCAUUGAUUGAAUUGAAUUGCACGAUCCAUGUUUCCCUCGAUGAAUAUGAUCCCAUCACGAAUAUGCAAAACACAACCACACUUUCUCCUUCCAUUGACAUUAACACAGUCAAAAUCACAUAAUAGCACCAACGAAAUAAAAAUGUCACAAUCAUAAGUUGAAAAUUCAAUAGCAUAUCGACGAUGAUCACAAACAAACUCAACACAUGCUAAAGAAUUUCUCAAAGUGUUGACAAAAAUCGGAAUAUCAUCAAAAUAGAGAAUUAACAAAUUUUUUCAUGAAAGAAUGCAAAAUAUAAUUCAACAAUUCCAUGGAAGUAUGCAAUGUCUUAGCUAAUCCCAGUGAACUAACUAAACAUGCAAAUAACUUAUCUUUCAAACCAUCUUGAUGAUAAACACUUCUUGAAUCAAAACCAUAUGAUAGCAAAUCAUGCAAUGAAGAUUGCUCUAACGAAACAACAUGAUUACUACUAUUGCCAACUAACGAUAAUUCAUGUAAAAAUUGACUAACAUGAAACCCUAAGUCAAUAUUUGAAUAAAAAAACCUAGAAUUAAUUUCAUGCAAGUAAGCACAUCGAAAACGAGAAUAUAUAUCAUGAUCAUAAACUAACUCAUCAUAAAUCAAAUAUCCUCCAUAGUUUAUGAUAAAGACGAUUUUACCCUCAAAAUAGCUAACAACAAAUUCAAUGGAAGCAUGCAAAACAUGUUUUAAAUAACUCAUGAAAACAAUAGAUGCAUCAGUUAAUCUAACAGAAAUAACUAUCCAUCUAAACAACUCACAUGUUAAAACGAUUUCCCAUUUAUCACAGUCAUGCACGCUAAUUUGAUUAGGUAUUGUCAUCACACGAUCACCUUCAAGUGUAGAUAAAACACAAGUACUAUGUAAUCUAUCAAGCAUAUUAUCCAAACAAGAAAAAGAAUAACGAUACUUGUUUACCAAUUCAAAAUUGACGAACAAACUCGUUGCCCCAUCCUCUUAGAUACUAUGAUCUCAUAAUCAACACAGGAACUCAUGUCUUCUCUCACGAUACCCACUUUCACCAACUUUCCAACCCGCCUUGGUAACUCCGUCGUCUCCUCGGGAAUACUAUCAGCUGAUCGGUACGGAAUGAUAGUACGGGGUAUUUCAUCAACAACCUGUACAAGAGACAAAACAAAACUAGACAAAGAAGAAUCAUUAGUGCUAGUAUUCAAAAGCGCCGUCUUGUACGAAUGUACAGUCAUUGGCUUUUCAAAAUAUAACUCACUUUUCAACUCACUCUCUUUUUCAUAGUCACAUAUUUCUUUUCUCUCUUCUUUAUGCUCACCCUCUCGUUUAUUUUUCUCUCGUUUAUUUUCAAGCUCACACUUUUCAUUCUCUUUUUUCUCAAUCUCUCUUUUCUUUUUAUUCUCACCCUUUUCAAUUUUUUCUUUCACAUUAUCAAUCUUUUGAACAAUUUCUUUUUGUCGAUCUUUUCCACAUGUAUUUUCUUUUACAAACUCAUCUUCUUGAUUACUUUCUUUCGGAUGUUCACCAUCUUGCUUUAGAUCAUGGAUUUCAUCUUGAACACUCGAACCCAAUAACUCUCCUUGAACUGCAUAUUCUAUAAUUUCUUCCACCUCCCCCGGCUGAUCUUGUUUCUUUUGCGCCUUAGGAGUAUAUUGUAGUUGCAUCCAAUAAUCUUCCUUGUUUACUUGUGUGCGAACACUUCUGUUAUUAUCUAUUUUAGAUCGCCCUGAAGGUUGCUCUACAGGUCUUUGAGAUGUAUACUCCUCCCUUCUGUCACGCUGUAUUGGAGCAAACUGCUUUCUCAUUGCUGUUUUUAAUUAUGCCCAUGUCUCGAACGGACGCUCCCCAUGUUUUUGUUUGCUAACUUGCCACCAUAUAAUUGUAUGAUCGGAGAACUCUUGAACUGCCCGUCUGACCUUCCUCCUCUCGGAGUAAUCAUGACAGUCAAAUUCUCGCUCCAUUUUUCUCUCCCAUCUCAGAUAUGCCUCUGUAUCAAUAUUGCCUUGGAAAGUAUUCCUUCGAGACCCAUAAGAACUUUCAUAAUUGUAGCCAUACAUGUUUGCUGUAAAACAAAGGUUAGUAGAUAAAAAUUUUCCUCGCACAUUUCCUUACGUGUUUCGCUCAAAUAAUGAUGAAUCACUCGUGUAUCGCUCAAAUUUGGCUUUUACCCUCUAAUAAUCUUACACUCUUGCCUUUUACCUCUAAUAUUCUCUCUAAUAGGUUCUUCUUGAAUUCCCCUAGCAAAAUUCUGGUUUUACUAAUCAAUUCAAGAAUUACUUAUCACGAACAAAAAUAUAGAUGGUGUAACUAUCAGAAUACCACAAAAUCACCGAUCGAUUGCCUUGUACUCCUCUUGUAUGCUUCAGAUUUGUAAAUUGUAGCUCCGUUUCAGAAUUGAUGAUGAUGGAACGGUAUGAAUUCUUGGUUGGAAUUUGAUGAUUUGAUGGUGUGCUACAAAUUUGGUUAGCACAAUGGAAAUAGAAUUUGAAUUUUUUUUUCCUUCUUUUUUUUUGCAAUAUAUAUUUCGACAAAAAAUUAAAGAGAAGUAACUCGCUAGAAAGGCUUAGCUCUGAUACCAAAUGAUAGACUCCACGACACGCUUGCGUGAGGUGGUCGUCGCCCCGAUCGUUUCUAGCACAGUUGUUGGGUGAAUUGCUUGCAACACCUUAACCUCUUACCUAUAUGUAGACGGUAAUCUUGGUACAAUUGCUCGCGUUCGGAAUUCUGCGUUGAAUGGACACCAACGACACCUUGACCCCUCACUUAUAUUGAAGCGGUAAUCUCGGUACAAUCGACGAUUGAUGCAGUAGAAGACGCCACACACAACUAUGAAUUGUUGUAUGAUAAGUCAAAUUGAAUCUCAAAGAAAUAACUAAGAAUUACUAGUUCUUAGUAAUUCUUCAAAGAACCAAAAGUAGAGAAUAAACUCACAAAUUUAUUGAAUAAUAAUAAUGAAUAAUGUAUUUGAUUACAUAACUUGGACCUCUAUUUACCCAAAACAAUCCAUAUCCCAAUAGGAAUUUAUAAACUAUAACCCUAAUAGAAGUUAAUUUGGAAAAGAAAUUCUAGUUAAAAAGAAAUCCUAAUUACACUAGAAUUUAAAAUUAAUUUAGAUCCCAAAUUUUCCAAGCCGUGUACGAAUUGUAUUAAAACUGAUAUUCCUUACAAGCUGCUAAUAAUCCGUGUACUGAUAGGAUCAUAUAUGAUCAAGCCUUAUGAUUGUUAUUAUGCAGACGUGGCCCACAUGCUAAUAUGCUGAACAUGCUGAAUCCAUGCAUUGCUUCAUUUAUUGUUGAAAAGCCACUUGAAUUGCUUAAGCCUGAUAUCUUGGAAAAAACUGUGGCCCACAUGAUAACUAAAUGUUGGCAUGUCUUUAUUCCUUUAUAUGUCUGGGCAUGUACUGAUUUGAAGUAGCACGAAUGAUGCUUAAUUAGAAGGCCCAAAUGAAUAAAAAAUUGACUUGCUGAAUUGGGUCAGUCCAAUAAUAUUUAAAUUGUACUAAAUUGUACUCCCUUAAAUAAUUUUUAGCCCAAUUAUUUGAAAUCAUUUGUUGAACACUUGACGCUCGAGUCGAUAAAUUGACGAAAAAUUCUGACCCGGUCAAUUUGUCAUCAAGGUUCCUCAUCAAAAACAGGGGCCCCAUCAUACUCUUCUCUGGCUGAUUCGUUUCUUACUAUCAUGAAUGCUUUGGGCUUCUUUCAUUGAUGUUCCACCACAUUGUGUAAUCAAAAUAAUAGCAUUAUUCCUUAUCCCUACUCUGAUAUAUUUGAGCUGCAGUGAUGGAUUUAGGGUCCGAGUAUCGGUACUUGAGUUUUCCUGGGGUAGAUCAAGAGCGGUGAUGUAUUAUGUUUGAUAUAGGGACUGUUUGGCUUGCUUUAGGUGCUGUACAAAAGGCUCUUUUACUGAUUGCUAUGCGAUCUCAUUUCAGAUUUGGAGUAUAUUCUUUAAAAUAUCUUUAUUGAGUUUAUUUUUGUGUGUAAUAAAAUUAGGCCUCAUGAAAUGCUGCAGUAUAUUUUCAUUCCAAAAUUUGUCAAUGGAUUGUUAUAGGUCAUUAAUUCAACCAUUUUCUGUCACUUCAAGUCCUUGGAUUAUAAUUUUUGUUUCAG